rnacentral:rRNA from 1 species
GUGGGGAAUAUUGGACAAUGGGCGAAAGCCUGAUCCAGCCAUGCCGCGUGUGUGAAGAAGGUCUUCGGAUUGUAAAUCACUUUAAGUUGGGAGGAAGGGCAGUAAGUUAAUACCUUGCUGUUUUGACGUUACCGACAGAAUAAGCACCGGCUAACUUCGUGCCAGCAGCCGCGGUAAUACGAAGGGUGCAAGCGUUAAUCGGAAUUACUGGGCGUAAAGCGCGCGUAGGUGGUUUUGUAAGUUGGAGGUGAAAUCCCCGGGCUCAACCUGAGAACUGCCACCAAAACUGCAUGACUAGAGUACGGUAGAGGGUAGUGGAAUUUCCUGUGUAGCGGUGAAAUGCGUAGAUAUAGGAAGGAACACCAGUGGCGAAGGCGACUACCUGGACUGAUACUGACACUGAGGUGCGAAAGCGUGGGGAGCAAACAGGAUUAGAAACCCCAGUAGUCC